ensembl:lncRNA
UUAGAAAAAAUACCAUGGUAUUACCGUUUAAACACACCGUGGGUUUCGGUGCAAUACCAUUGUACUCUUCGAAUGUUAAAAUCAUAUUAUAUUCAUAUAGUUAUCAAAUAGCAUCAUGUUAUUUCUCAAAAUAUUUAUUAUAAUCUGAGAAAGUCACUACAGUGACAAAAUCAUCAUAAAAAUAUGUAUCAAGUGGAGAAUGAAAUGUUGUCCAGUGGUGAAAAUAUUAAAAUUUCACUUUUUUUUUCUUUUUUUUUGCGUUGUGGGUUCCAUGUACUGUUAUUGUUAUUAAUUAUUAUUAUGAUUUAUGAACUGGCUUUAAUUCAAUGCAUUAAAAAUAACAAUAUGAAAAAUAAAAAAAUAUAUAAAUAACAAGAUAGCAAACAGAUCAAAACAAUAUUAUAUUAUAAAAAAAUAUGACUUUACAACAUGAAAACAAAAUAUGAGAUGAAUUUUUUAACACUUUUUAAAUGUAUUAAUAUUCCACAAACUGUGGAUAUACUGUAUACUGUAAUUACUGUUUUUUCCAUGUUAUUUUAUGUUUGUGCUUUUGGAAAUGGAUACUUUUGCUAAUUAUGCUUAAUAUUUUGCAUUUUAGACUCGUUUUGAGCACAAGUGUAAUUGUCCAGCUGAUUAAUUUUUUUUUUUAUUUAUUUUUUUUUAUUGGUGUACUUUCACCUGCAUGUUAUAGUUUAGAUGUCUGUGUGGGAAUAGGACACCAAAAACCCGGGACUUUUUCACCUUAAAUCAGACUCAGUGACAGAUUAAACAGCAGCUGUUAUUGUAAUACUUUUCCAUGUCAAAGCAGAGACUUAAUGUUUCAUGAAACUGCUUUUCUCUGUGAAAAGUGUUUCUGCAGUAUUUGAAAUGGUUUAAGUGUUUGUAACAGCUAGAGGGUAAGUGAUGACAGAAAUGUAGUUUUAGGUUCAAAUGAAAGGUAAUAAGUAAGGUAAUGAGUUGAUGUUUGUAGUUUUGAUCAUGUGACGCUCAUGAAAGCGAGACGCUCAGAGAUGUGUGUGUGUGUGUGUGUGUCUGGUUUUAUUGUCCCGUGGGUCGUGUUUUUCGUGGGUCUCAGGGGGUUUCUUUGCCCCGGAACCAGAGGUCACGUUAGGAACCCAGACAGUGUGUGUGUGUGUGUGUGAGAGAGAGUUUGUGUGUGUGUGUGUGUGUGUGUGUGUGUGUGUGUGUGUGUGAGAGAGAGAGAGUUUGUGUGAGUGUGUGUGUGUGUGUGAGUUGGUGUGUGUUUUGUGUGUGUGUGUGUGUGUGUGUGUGUGAGAGAGAGAGAGUUUGUGUGAGUGUGUGUGUGUGUGUGAGUUUGUGUGUGUGUUUGUGUGUGUUUGUGUGUGUGUGUGUGUGUGUGUGUGUGUGAGUGUGUGUUUGUGUGUGUGUGCGCGUACACAGACAGACAGACUGUUCAGUGACCUGGGCCUAUAGACAGACACAGAGGUCAUUGUCUAGGGUGAUAGGAGCUGUGUGUGUGUGUGUGUGUGUGUGUGUGUGUGUGUGUUUAGACCCAGACAUAAUUAUUUUUGGGAGAUCAGGGUCAACAGCUCCACCUCAUCUCAUCGGAAACACACACAGAUCAUAAACGCCAACAUCAUUCAGUUCAGUUCAGUUCAGCAAAAAAUUAUGUUCAUUAUGUUCAUCAAACUGGCAUUUGAGUUCAUAUGCAUGUUUUACAGAUUUUUCUAGUUUCCUAACUUUAUAAAUCUGUGUAGCCUUUAAAGUUGAUAAAUAUAAAAUUUUUGUAACUAUAUCUGGUUAUUACAUAAUACCAAUGAUAUUUUUACUAUGGUUACACACAUGAACCAAAUGUGAGUAAAAGUUAAAAAUGUGAGUUUUGAUUUCAUUCUGUUUUGUGCUAAACACUCAUUGACUGACAGAUGUGUGUUAAUGUCUGUAGACACACCAGAGCAGACCGAGUCUGAAUAUGCAGACUGCUGAAGGGUGUGUGUGUGUGUGUGUGUGUUGGGGGUGGAUGGAUGUCUAGUUAGCACUUUCAGACUGUCUGGGUGUGUGUGUGUGUGACUGAGGGGCUUAUAAGUGUGUCUGAGAGCAGAUCUGUAUUAGAAAGACACUUAAACAGCAACGGCAGGAGUGUGUAUGUGUGUGUGUGUGAGUGUGGGGGGUGUUUUUCAGCACUGAUUGUCAAACUGUGUCUAAGAUCUUCUCAAAUAUGAAACAAAACUCAUGAGACUUGAUGUGUUUUAAGUUCAGUUUGACUGAAAUAUCAACUUUGUCUCAGAAGUUCAUUAGAAGACAAAAAUAGACACAAAUGAGUCCAAUAGAGCUAUAAGAUAAAUGUGUAUAAAAGCUCUUUUGGCAAAUUUGAGCGCAGUUUGAGACAUUUUUAAGAUCUAAAGCUCUAGAGAAGGCGUGUAAGAUGUUUGGUAGUCUAUCUUAAUAUUUGAGGAACUUACUGCAUUUACUGAUGUUCUCAGAUUUACACUAUUCAGAAGUUUUAGAUCAGUAGGAUUUUUUGAAAGAGUCUCUUCUGCUCACGAAGGCUGCAUUAAUUUGAUCAGAAAUACAGUAAAAACUGUGAAAUAUUAUUACAAUUUAAAAUAACUGUUUUCUCUGUGAAUCUCUGUUAAAGUGUAAUUUAUUUCUGUGAUGCACAGCUGAAUUUUCA